GGGACCACAUUUCCUAGGUUGCCCUACGGCGGUACCUGUUGCACUUCCCUACCGCUUUGCCGGAUUGGGAGAAGGAAGGGUGCCGGUGAGGACCCGGUUUUAUUUGCCGGGAAAUGGAAAGGAAGUCUUUUGUAUUCACAACACCUUUAAGUGGAGGGAUGGGUAGUUCGAGGUAGAGAGAGUUCUUGGGAAAUGAACAACCAGGGAAGUAUUGGGCUGAGAAGGUUGGAAGGAGUUGUGGACCAAUGCGGGAAGACGAAGGAAAGAAAGGUUUGGGAUUUCCCUGUGGGCUCAGGGGAUUCCUCCCUGGUCUUUCCAGCCUCUCCGCUCUUCUUACUCGUUCCCUCCUCCCAACCAGGGCGGGGAUGCUGGAGGCAGCCUCUAGCUAGAACUGUCACUCCGGGAAAUGAGUUCAGUUUCUCUUCCGAUUCAUCUUUGCAACUCACUACAUAAAGGUCAAGAGAGCUGAGUCAUUUGGGAACCAGGGAAGGCGUGGGCUGCCAGGAGAAGGAGGGGCAGCCCGGGCCACCACCUGCUCCUGGGAAGAACGCUGAGAAUCCGACUGACUACCAUCAGAGCCAGUCAUGCUCUGUCUCCAGGUGAUGGAAACUGGAAACCAACAGAGUCUUGAAAAAUAUCCCGAAUCUCUUGUGGAUGCAAGCACCCACCUUAGUGGGAUGCAACUGAGCAAUGAACUCUUCCCCAGCAACAUCUAAAACAGGCAGUACUUUCUGCAACUAAGUCAGCUCAAGGAUGAUUUUAGAAAGUCCUGGAAAGACUUACAUGAACUGAUGCUGAGUGAAAUGAGAAGACCAGGAAAUCCUUAUAUACCUCAACAACAAUACUAUAUGAUAAUCAGUUCUGAUGGACUUGGCCAUCUUCAGCAAAGAGAUGAACCAAAUCAGUUCCAAUAGAGCAGUAAUGAACUGAACCAGCUACACCCAGUGAAAGAACUCUGGUAGAUGACUAUGAACCACUACAUAGAAUUCCCAAUCCCUCUAUUUUUGUCCGUCCCAAUCCCGCUAUUUUUGUCCGCCUGCAUUUUUUAUUUCCUUCACAGGUUAAUUGUACACUAUUUCAAAGUCCAAUUCUUUUUGUACAGGAAAAUAACUGUUUGGACAUGUAUACUUAUAUUGUAUUUAAUUUAUACUUUAACAUAUUUAACAUGUAUUGGUCAACCUGCCAUCUGGGGGAGGGAGUGGGGGGAAGGAGGGGAAAAAUUGGAACAAAAGGUUUGGCAAUUGUCAAUGCUGUAAAAUUAUCCAUGCAAUAUAACUUGUAAAUAAAAAGCUAUAAUUUUAAAAAAAUUAAAACAAAUCAUAUUGAAAUAAAGUUAUCAAAAUAUUUUUAAAAAUAAAUUCACAAACCUUAGGUUAUUAAGACUUGUUCUACUGUCCAUCAUAAUACCUGGCUUUGGCAAAUGCAUAUUAAGCAUUUAUUGAAAUGAACUGAAAAGAAAUAUUUUUUUUAUUUUUACUAAAUCUUUUUUAUUUUCAAAAAAAAAAAGUGCAGUAUACAGCUGAGAAAAAGGCAUAUUCCUUUCUUUCUUAUUCAGUAAAUAUCAAAGGUCUAUCAUAUCUAACUUCUAAAAUUCUAUUCACUUG
ensembl:lncRNA